GGUUAAGCGACUAAGCGUACACGGUGGAUGCCCUGGCAGUCAGAGGCGAUGAAGGACGUGCUAAUCUGCGAUAAGCGCCGGUAAGGUGAUAUGAACCGUUAUAACCGGCGAUUUCCGAAUGGGGAAACCCAGUGUGACUCGUCACACUAUCAUUAACUGAAUCCAUAGGUUAAUGAGGCGAACCGGGGGAACUGAAACAUCUAAGUACCCCGAGGAAAAGAAAUCAACCGAGAUUCCCCCAGUAGCGGCGAGCGAACGGGGAGGAGCCCAGAGCCUGAAUCAGCAUGUGUGUUAGUGGAAGCGUCUGGAAAGGCGCGCGAUACAGGGUGACAGCCCCGUACACAAAAGCGCAUGUGCUGUGAGCUCGAUGAGUAGGGCGGGACACGUGGUAUCCUGUCUGAAUAUGGGGGGACCAUCCUCCAAGGCUAAAUACUCCUGACUGACCGAUAGUGAACCAGUACCGUGAGGGAAAGGCGAAAAGAACCCCGGCGAGGGGAGUGAAAAAGAACCUGAAACCGUGUACGUACAAGCAGUGGGAGCACCCUUUGGGGUGUGACUGCGUACCUUUUGUAUAAUGGGUCAGCGACUUAUAUUCUGUAGCAAGGUUAACCGAAUAGGGGAGCCGGAGGGAAACCGAGUCUUAACCGGGCGUUAAGUUGCAGGGUAUAGACCCGAAACCCGGUGAUCUAGCCAUGGGCAGGUUGAAGGUUGGGUAACACUAACUGGAGGACCGAACCGACUAAUGUUGAAAAAUUAGCGGAUGACCUGUGGCUGGGGGUGAAAGGCCAAUCAAACCGGGAGAUAGCUGGUUCUCCCCGAAAGCUAUUUAGGUAGCGCCUCGUGAAUUCAUCUCCGGGGGUAGAGCACUGUUUCGGCUAGGGGGCCAUCCCGGCUUACCAACCCGAUGCAAACUGCGAAUACCGGAGAAUGUUAUCACGGGAGACACACGGCGGGUGCUAACGUCCGUCGUGAAGAGGGAAACAACCCAGACCGCCAGCUAAGGUCCCAAAGUCAUGGUUAAGUGGGAAACGAUGUGGGAAGGCCCAGACAGCCAGGAUGUUGGCUUAGAAGCAGCCAUCAUUUAAAGAAAGCGUAAUAGCUCACUGGUCGAGUCGGCCUGCGCGGAAGAUGUAACGGGGCUAAACCAUGCACCGAAGCUGCGGCAGCGACGCUGAUGCGUUGUUGGGUAGGGGAGCGUUCUGUAAGCCUGUGAAGGUGGCCUGUGAGGGUUGCUGGAGGUAUCAGAAGUGCGAAUGCUGACAUAAGUAACGAUAAAGCGGGUGAAAAGCCCGCUCGCCGGAAGACCAAGGGUUCCUGUCCAACGUUAAUCGGGGCAGGGUGAGUCGACCCCUAAGGCGAGGCCGAAAGGCGUAGUCGAUGGGAAACGGGUUAAUAUUCCCGUACUUGGUGUUACUGCGAAGGGGGGACGGAGAAGGCUAUGUUGGCCGGGCGACGGUUGUCCCGGUUUAAGCGUGUAGGUGUGUGUUCCAGGUAAAUCCGGUUCACUUUAACACUGAGGCGUGAUGACGAGGCACUACGGUGCUGAAGCAACAAAUGCCCUGCUUCCAGGAAAAGCCUCUAAGCAUCAGGUAACAUCAAAUCGUACCCCAAACCGACACAGGUGGUCAGGUAGAGAAUACCAAGGCGCUUGAGAGAACUCGGGUGAAGGAACUAGGCAAAAUGGUGCCGUAACUUCGGGAGAAGGCACGCUGACACGUAGGUGAAGUGAUUUACUCAUGGAGCUGAAGUCAGUCGAAGAUACCAGCUGGCUGCAACUGUUUAUUAAAAACACAGCACUGUGCAAACACGAAAGUGGACGUAUACGGUGUGACGCCUGCCCGGUGCCGGAAGGUUAAUUGAUGGGGUCAGCGCAAGCGAAGCUCCUGAUCGAAGCCCCGGUAAACGGCGGCCGUAACUAUAACGGUCCUAAGGUAGCGAAAUUCCUUGUCGGGUAAGUUCCGACCUGCACGAAUGGCGUAAUGAUGGCCAGGCUGUCUCCACCCGAGACUCAGUGAAAUUGAACUCGCUGUGAAGAUGCAGUGUACCCGCGGCAAGACGGAAAGACCCCGUGAACCUUUACUAUAGCUUGACACUGAACAUUGAGCCUUGAUGUGUAGGAUAGGUGGGAGGCUUUGAAGUGUGGACGCCAGUCUGCAUGGAGCCGGCCUUGAAAUACCACCCUUUAAUGUUUGAUGUUCUAACGUGGACCCGUGAUCCGGGUUGCGGACAGUGUCUGGUGGGUAGUUUGACUGGGGCGGUCUCCUCCUAAAGAGUAACGGAGGAGCACGAAGGUUGGCUAAUCCUGGUCGGACAUCAGGAGGUUAGUGCAAUGGCAUAAGCCAGCUUGACUGCGAGCGUGACGGCGCGAGCAGGUGCGAAAGCAGGUCAUAGUGAUCCGGUGGUUCUGAAUGGAAGGGCCAUCGCUCAACGGAUAAAAGGUACUCCGGGGAUAACAGGCUGAUACCGCCCAAGAGUUCAUAUCGACGGCGGUGUUUGGCACCUCGAUGUCGGCUCAUCACAUCCUGGGGCUGAAGUAGGUCCCAAGGGUAUGGCUGUUCGCCAUUUAAAGUGGUACGCGAGCUGGGUUUAGAACGUCGUGAGACAGUUCGGUCCCUAUCUGCCGUGGGCGCUGGAGAACUGAGGGGGGCUGCUCCUAGUACGAGAGGACCGGAGUGGACGCAUCACUGGUGUUCGGGUUGUCAUGCCAAUGGCACUGCCCGGUAGCUAAAUGCGGAAGAGAUAAGUGCUGAAAGCAUCUAAGCACGAAACUUGCCCCGAGAUGAGUUCUCCCUGAGACUUUAAGUCUCCUGAAGGAACGUUGAAGACGACGACGUUGAUAGGCCGGGUGUGUAAGCGCAGCGAUGCGUUGAGCUAACCGGUACUAAUGAACCGUGAGGCUUAACCUUAC
rnacentral:rRNA from 1 species